rnacentral:tRNA from 1 species
GGCCCUGUAACUCAGCUGGUAGAGCGUGCACCGUACAAAAGUGUAGGCGGUGUCCAUGCGUGGGUUCAAAUCCUACCAAGGCUA